rnacentral:rRNA from 1 species
AACGAACGCUGGCGGCAUGCCUAACACAUGCAAGUCGAACGGGACCUUCGGGCCUAGUGGCGCACGGGUGCGUAACGCGGGGGAACCAGCCCUUAGGUUCGGAAUCACUCCCCGUAAGGGGUGCUAAUACAGGUUAAUGUCUUCGGACCAAAGAUUUAUCGCCUUUGGAUGGGCCCGGGUUGGAUUAGCUAGUUGGUAGGGUACAAGCCUACCAAGGCGACGAUCCAUGGCUGGUCGGAGAGGAUGAUCAGCAACGCUGGGACUGCGACCCGGCCUAGACUCCUACGGGGGGCUGCAGUGUGGAGUAUUGGGCACGGGGCCAAAGCCUGGUCCAGCAAUGCCGCGUGUGUGAUGAAUGCCUUAGUGUUGUAAAUCUCUUUUACCCGGGAUGUUAAUGACAGUACCGGGAGAAUAAGCUCCGGCUAACUCCGUG